UACGUAGGUGGCAAGCGUUACUCGGAAUCACUAGGCGUAAAGCGCAGGUAGGUGGUUUGGUAAGUCUUUUGUGAAAGCUCCUGGCUCAACUGGGAGAGGUCAAAGGAAACUACCAGGCUAGAGUGUGGUAGGGGAUACUGGAAUUCCUGGUGUAGCGGUGGAAUGCGCAGAUAUCAGGAGGAACACCAAUGGCGAAGGCAGAUCUCUGGGCCGUAACUGACGCUGAGGAGCGAAAGCAUGGGGAGCGAACAGG
rnacentral:rRNA from 1 species